UGCAGAGGUCCCAAGCGUUUGUUCGGAUUCAUUGGGCGUAAAGGGUGCGUAGGCGGCGCGGUAAGUCGGGUGUGAAAUCUCGGGGCUUAACUCCGAAACUGCAUUCGAUACUGCCGUGCUUGAGGACUGGAGAGGAGACUGGAAUUUACGGUGUAGCGGUGAAAUGCGUAGAUAUCGUAAGGAAGACCAGUGGCGAAGGCGGGUCUCUGGACAGUUCCUGACGCUGAGGCACGAAGGCCAGGGGAGCAAACGGGG
rnacentral:rRNA from 1 species